ACUUCAAUCGAUUUGAAUAGGUAUAACCGCUACAUAAAUAAAAACUAUACUUAAAAACUGAUAUAUCUUUAUAUUAAAG
rnacentral:tRNA from 1 species